UACGUAGGGAGCAAGCGUUGUCCGGAAUCAUUGGGCGUAAAGGGUGCGUAGGCGGCGCGGUAAGUCGGGUGUGAAAUCUUGGAGCUUAACUCCGAAACUGCAUUCGAUACUGCCGUGCUUGAGGACUGGAGAGGAGACUGGAAUUUACGGUGUAGCGGUGAAAUGCGUAGAUAUCGUAAGGAAGACCAGUGGCGAAGGCGGGUCUCUGGACAGUUCCUGACGCUGAGGCACGAAAGUGUGGGGAUCAAACAGG
rnacentral:rRNA from 1 species